CAAAGAAUAUGGUCUUUUCAAUGCGACUGGAAUUGUUAAUGAAUUGAGAAUUGUUGAUGGUGAAUUAAUGCAUUACAGAAAUCGUGUCACUUUCAGGAAGCAAAUAAUAUAAAAGGUCAAUUGGUUUGGAUUGGAUUGCCAUCAAUAGGUCAGUCCUGUGCUAUUGAAUUGCCUUGUUCUUUAAAAAACUCAAUGAUAUGUCUAGCUAGUUGCCCUCAAAUACAGGCAAAGCUGCACGGCAAAUGGUGAUCAACUUUGAGAAUAUUGACACUGCAUCUCUCAGUUCCAUUAAUUUAUCACCAAAUACAAGACUUCUGCAAAAAUGAAAAGCAUUGACAUAUUCUACCACACUGUAACUGCAUGUUGAUUACCACAUACUACAAUAAUGCUCAGUGAAACCAAAACAUUAUUACUUUAUAUUUUUAGACAUUUGUUAUUCUUUGCAUGAGCACAAAUGGAUAUUAAUAUUGUGACUUAAACCAGAGAUGGAUGAUCCAUUUGGAUGAACUUGAAGAUGAUCUCUCUGUGCAAUCCGGUCUCUGAAACACAUGGGAAUAUUACGUACAUCUGAAUGCCUUUGAAACCGUGUUUGAAAAGUAUUGUCCUCUGGAUAUGAAGAUAUUACAAUGGUGGGUAACAGUGUGACAUACACUGUGAUUAUAAAUGAUAAUAUGAUGGACACACAUAAAUUAAUUCAUUAACAGAUCGAACUCAAUUGGAUAUGAUAAACUGGUAAAAAUGUCCAUAUAAAACUGACUUACUGUAGCCAGAUUAAUCUGUAUUUGAACUUUGAGACCAUAGUUGAUUGACCAGCAUUCUAGCUUGGACCUUACUGGAUUAACCUGCAUAAUCUUCUAAUGGAUUAAACUGUGUAAUAACUGGUUUUUACAAGAUUAAUCUUCAUUAUAAAACAUUCUUGGAUGUAUGAACUUGCAUCAUGAGCUGCUGGCCUUCAACUACUGAAUGAACCUGUAUGGAAGCAAGACUGUACUGGAUUUGCAUAUAAACUGAAAGGAUUUUAACCUGGGACUUAGAGAUACAGCUACUUAAUAAUAUUACGUGGUGAAGAUCUGAAGAUAAUGAAGAAGACAACGACUUAUAUAAAUCAAAACUGCUGAUUGGAGUUUACCAUGGUGUUUAUCAACUGGACUAAAAUGAAUUUGGACAUUAAGUACUGUAAGUAUAAACAGGGAAUGAAACUGCUUAUAAAAAGUGCUAAAAUGAAAAUUCAGCAACAUUUUUGGAUAGGUUGGGGUCUGCUAGUAUUUCUAACACAAAAUUAUUCUGAAAAGCAAAUUUUCGGGUGCAUCACGCCUGUUUUUUAAAAUUACUUUAAAAAUGGCUUGUGCAGAAAAGGGUAUAUUUCAAAUGCAAUUUGAAUGCAUAGGGUGCAAAUUAAGAAUUGUGCAUGGGUUUUGUAGAUGGAAAUUCUAAAUGUGAAUUGUAUACAUUUGUGUGUAUGCACAUAAAAUUGUCUUGUUGCAUCCUAUGAAUUCAAAUUCUGUUUUAUGUUAAGCCAUUUUUAAAAUUGUUUCAAUUACUUUUCAGAAUAAUUUAAUGAUAGAGAUACAAAUUUUGCACAAUUACUGUAGUUUCUUUAGUUCUUCUUAAAGUUGUUAACAGUUAACAAGCCCACUUACAUGCACCUGCUUUGCAUGCUACAACCACAUGGGGCAUCUGCUUAGUAUAUUGCAUCGAAUUACAAAAGUUUUGAUAUUCAAAUUUAUUCAAAUAAACAUUUUGGAUAUUUCCAUUUUGCUUUUUAAAAGAAGAGAAUGGUUAACUAUUCACAGUUGUUAUGGGUAUGAAUACAGUAUUAUAGUAAAUUCCAUCUCUAAAUAUUUCUGUACAAAAUGCAUUUGUCCUAUAGGCUCUGUCAGGAUUAUCAAUCAUUACCCCAGAUAUGACCAACAUAAAAUCAGAAUAAUUUACUCAAACAUAUAUUUAUCUAGAUACACAUCCCAAGAAUAUGGUCUUUGUUUUCAAUGAACGAGAAUUGCCACUGGAAGACAGUUGAUGCUUAAUGCAUUAUAUUCAAAAAGCAAGAUAAUACAGUGUGAAAGGUCAAUUGGAUUGAAAUAUACAGUCAUCAAUAGGUUAGUGCUGUGUUAUUGAAUUGCUUUGUUCUUUAAUACACUCCUUCUCAACGCUCUGUCUAUUUGCCUUCAAAUACAGGCAAAGUGACACAGCAAGUGGUGGUCAAAUUUGAGCAUUUUGACACUGCAUCUCUCAGUUCCAUUAAUUUACCACUUCUACAUCAAUUGAAAAGAAUUGACAUUCUACCACUCUCGUAACUGCAUGGUGAUGUUGAUUACCACAUACUACACAAUAAUGCUCAGUAAAACCACAACAUUAUUACUUUAUAUUUUUAAACAUUUGUUAUUCCUUGUUAGCACACAUGGAUAUUAAUAUUGUGAUUUAAACCAGAGAUGGAUGAUCCAUUUGGACGAACUUGAAGAUGAUCUCUCUGUGCAAUCCGGUCUCUCAAUCACAUGGGAAUAUUACACACAUCUGAAUGCCUUUGAAACCGUGUUCAAUAGAGUAUUGUCAUCAUCGAUAAUGGAUAUGAAGAUAUUGCAAUGGUGGUUAGCUGUGAAAUACACUGAGAUUAUAAAUGAAAUAUGGACACACAUAAGAACUCAAUUGGAUAUUAUAAACUGGUAAAAAUUUCCAUAUAAAACUGACUUACUGUAGCUUGAUUAAUAUGUAUAUGAACUUGGAGACAGUAGUCGUUUGGACAGCAUUCUUGCUUGGACCUUACUGGAUUAGCCUGCAUAAUCUUCUAAUGGAUUAAACUGUGUGAUAACUGGUCUUUAUGAGAUUAACCUGCAUCAUGAAACAUUCUUGGCUGCAUGAACUUGCAUCAUAACUGCUGGCCUUUAAGUACUGAAUGAACCUGUAUAGCAAGGAAGAUUUUACUGGAUUUGCAUAUGAACUGAAUUUAACCUGGGACUGGAGAUACAGCUGCUUAGUAUCAUGCAGUGAAGAUCCAUUAUGAUAGGGCGAUGAAGAGGACAACUUAAAUAAAUCAAAACUUCUGAUUGGAGUUUCCCACAAUGUCAAUGUAUCAAUCCGACUAACCUGAAUUUGGCCAUUAAGUACUGUAAGUAUAAACAUGGAAAUUAAACUGCUUAUUAUAUAUCUGCUUAUAUAUUGGGACAAUUGACCAAGCCAACAGUAGAUAAGUGGGUCGGAAUAUUUUAAAGAAGAACCAAAAUAAGAAGUUGUAAACUUCUGAUAUUGAACUACUGCAAUGGCUUUGUAGGUUGCAUCGGUCUCAAAAUCACAAAUUCAAAUCUGAAUACUUAUUUAUAGUAUAUGAUUACAAAUCCAAUUCUAACCUACAUGUAUUUUGUUCACAAUUAGUUAUUUCCUAUAUUGCUCAUGUGAGGAUCACCCCAAAUAUCACCCAGACAUAAAAUCAAAAUAAUUUUCUCAAACAUUUCCCUAGGUAGACAUUCAGACUUGGAAGAACUGUCAUUUGCUUUAAAUGAACAAACAUCGAUGAUCAAGGGUUGUUCUUAAACAAUAAGUACAAAUAGGGAAAAUUCCUACAGAAUAUAUAAAUCGUUUUAGUUGUUUCCGUGAGCAUUAGGCAGCAGAUGGUGGUCAAUUUCAGAAUUUAGUAGUUAAAGUCAGGCAUGUAAUGUAUUAUUUUCUUAUUCUAAUACAUAGCUAUAGUUUGGCCACCAUCUGCUACAGGUUAAUGUUUAGUGAAACAUGGUUUCCCUACCCAUUACGCAGCAGAUCAAAUAAGAGUUAUGGUUGCAAAGAACUAUAAACUACAUGUUACAAUUUUACUUGUUUGGCUACCAAAUAAUGUGUAACUAAAUAUUACAUAAUGAAAGGAAUUAGCACCACAAUAACUUUCCAACUCUGGUAACUGCAUGUUGAGUGUUACAUACUGCUCGAUGGUGAAACAUGUUUACUUGAUAUUUUUAGACCUGUGAAAAGAUGAAAGUAUCUUACUGUGCAGACGUUUGCGGCGCAAGUGCCAUGGGAUGAUAUACGAGGUUGGAUGACUUGGAAGAGUAACAUUUCCCUCAUAAAAAACGUGAGUUAUUGAAUUGUUCUACACACAUGGUAAAGUCUUUAUACUUUCAAAAUGUUCUUGAAAAAGUCUUUAAUUAUUAACCAGAGAACUUUAACUGACAAGUUAUCCAGGCAACAAUAAGUUAAAAGAAGGAGGUAGUUAAGUCUAGCACUACUGCAAUUAAUCUAAUUAGACCAGCACAGCAAUUAGCCAAUUUUGUGAAUGUUGUCACUUGAUUAAUGACUCCUUUAAAAUCUUUAUUUAGAACAAAACCAGGUUUACCACAAGAGUGACAAGUGAAAGACUGUUGAAGUCAGGCAUGCAUAUUGAAGAUAACUGAACCAUAGAAAACGUGCUUUGCAGCACGUUACGAACACAUGUUCCAACAACUGUGGAUGGUAUUCUUGAAGAAUGAAGAUAUCGACACCGAAACGGCAAACCUGAUGCUGCAUAGAGAAGUAUGAUCUCAGAGAUAAAAAAUCUUUCAAUAGUUUAUUUUGCAUUUGUUGAAUGUAAAAUAUUUUCUUUAGGACAAGAUACAGUUGCAAAAGUACAAAAGACUAGAAGUGGAGCCAAAUGUGCAAACUGGAAAGCCAUCAGCUGAUCUGGUGUGAAGGCUGAGGAGCAAGGCGGUACUGCAUGAAGAGAACUCGGAUGUAGACAGGUCACGUAAGUAUUUACUAACUAUUUACUUUAUAUUUACCGCGCCGACAGAUGGGAGACAAGUGCCAUGAACGAUGAAUAUUCAAGAUUAGAUGAUUUGAAGGAGUAACAUUUUUCUCGUAAAAAAUGUGAGUUGUUAAAUUUAUUCAUAUGUUGCAAAACUGCUUUAUUUCUUAAGAAAAUGAAUGCAAAUAGUUGUGUUAUUUUAUUUUUGUUGUGAAAUUUCUUCCCUUUACCUUUUCCAGUGUGAACAUCACGUUAUCAACAGAGCUCAACUGAAUAUGGCAAAAGAUGUAGUUGGAACCAAUUUGACUGUGAUAAUAACCUCAAUUUGGAACUUGCAAAAGCAGCCACUUGUUGAGCACUGAGUGAACCUGUAUAUAUGCCAAAGCAAGAAUUCGCUGGAUCUGCACAAAUAUUGAAAGGAUUUUAACCUGCACUUGGACCUACACCAACCUAAUGUCAAGCUGUGAAGAUGCGACGAAUUGUGAAGAGGAAUUGAUGGAAAAACAUUCAGGUUUAUACUAUAGGUACCAUAGGUAUUGUAGGUGAUGUAGUUGAGUCUUGUAUCCAGAAUAAGUAAUUCAGUAUUCUGGAUCCAAGAUCUCCUGGUGGUCUCUGACGGAUGUAUUUACACAUUUUCUGUACUUUUCCCACCUUUUGGCAC